rnacentral:rRNA from 1 species
AUUGAACGCUGGCGGCAGGCCUAACACAUGCAAGUCGAACGAGCGGCGGACGGGUGAGUAAUGUAUGGGGCCAGUCCGCGAGAGGGGGAUAACUUCUGGAAAAGGUAGCUAAUACCCCCUACUCUCGCACAAUCCAGAUGGGAUUGGCUAGUAGGUGAGGUAAUGGCUCACCGCGGCGACGAUCCCUAGCUGGUCUGUGAGGUUGAUCAGCCACACGGGGACGGAAACACGGUCCAGACUCCUACGGAGGCAGCAGUGGGGAAUAUUGCACGAUGAGCGCAAGCCUGAUGCAGCCAUGCCGCGUGUAUGAAGAAGGCCCUAGGGUUGUAAAGUACUUUCAGUCGGGAGGCGUUACCGACAGAAGAAGCACCGGCUAACUCCGUGCCAGCAGCCGCGGUAAUAC